rnacentral:rRNA from 1 species
UUCGUAGGGUGCGAGCGUUGUCCGGAAUUAUUGGGCGUAAAGGGCUCGUAGGCGGUUUGUCACGUCAGGAGUGAAAACUCGGGGCUCAACCCCGAGCCUGCUUCUGAUACGGGCAGACUGGAGGUAUGCAGGGGAGAACGGAAUUCCUGGUGUAGCGGUGAAAUGCGCAGAUAUCAGGAGGAACACCGGUGGCGAAGGCGGUUCUCUGGGCCUUACCUGACGCUGAGGAGCGAAAGCGUGGGGAGCGAACAGG